CGCUGAUGGACGAAAGCGUGGGGAGCGAACAGGAUUAGAUACCCUGGUAGUCCACGCCGUAAACGAUGCUAACUCGUUUUUGGGCUUUAGGGUUCAGAGACUAAGCGAAAGUGAUAAGUUAGCCACCUGGGGAGUACGUUCGCAAGAAUGAAACUCAAAGGAAUUGACGGGGGCCCGCACAAGCGGUGGAUUAUGUGGUUUAAUUCGAUGAUACGCGAGGAACCUUACCAAGGCUUAAAUGGGAAUUGACAGUUUCAGAAAUGAGAUUUUCUUCGGACAAUUUUCAAGGUGCUGCAUGGUUGUCGUCAGCUCGUGCCGUGAGGUGUUAGGUUAAGUCCUGCAACGAGCGCAACCCCUGUCACUAGUUGCCAUCAUUAAGUUGGGGACUCUAGUGAGACUGCCUACGCAAGUAGAGAGGAAGGUGGGGAUGACGUCAAAUCAUCACGGCCCUUACGCCUUGGGCCACACACGUAAUACAAUGGCCGGUACAGAGGGCAGCUACACAGCGAUGUGAUGCGAAUCUCGAAAGCCGGUCUCAGUUCGGAUUGGAGUCUGCAACUCGACUCUAUGAAGCUGGAAUCGCUAGUAAUCGCGCAUCAGCCAUGGCGCGGUGAAUACGUUCCCGGGCCUUGUACACACCGCCCGUCAAGCCAUGGAAGUCUGGGGUACCUGAAGUCGGUGAC
rnacentral:rRNA from 1 species